rnacentral:sRNA from 1 species
GUCAGGUAUGGUGGCACUUGUCUGUGAUCCCAACUGCUUGGGAAACUAAGGCAGAAGGAUUGCUUCAGCCCAGGAGUUCAAGGCCAGCCUGGGCUACACAGUAAGACCCCCACCUUAA